ACUGGUACCACUUCAUCUGGGUCCUAAAAUAUGAAAAAGACCAAAAAUGGUCAGUAUCAUAUAUCCAGUGAGAAUCAUAGAAAGGUCAGGAUCGAAAGAAGUCUAAAAAGGAUUAUCAUUUUAUAAACCAAGAUAUAAAGACUCAG